rnacentral:rRNA from 1 species
UACGGAGGGUGCGAGCGUUGUCCGGAAUCACUGGGCGUAAAGGGUGCGUAGGUGGCGCUGUAAGUCGGGUGUGAAAUUUCGGAGCUUAACUCCGAAACUGCAUUCGAUACUGCGGUGCUUGAGGACUGGAGAGGAGACUGGAAUUCAUGGUGUAGCAGUGAAAUGCGUAGAUAUCGUAAGGAAGACCAGUGGCGAAGGCGGGUCUCUGGACAGUUCCUGACGCUGAGGCACGAAGGCCAGGGGAGCAAACGGG